CUGAAUAACUUUGCUGAUCACACGAUCCUACCACUGGUGACCUAUCUUUCAAGUGUCUGCCCUAUCAACUUUCGAUGGUAGUUUAUGUGCCUACCAUGGAGGUAACGGGUAACGGAGAAUAAGGGUUCGACUCCGGAGAGGGAGCCUGAAAAAUGGCUACCACAUCCAAGGAAGGCAGCAGGCGCGCAAAUUACCCACUCUCAGUUUGAGGAGGUAGUGACGAAAAAUAACAAAACAGCUCUCUAUGAGGUCUGUCAUUGGAAUGGGUACAAUUUAAACCCUUUAACGAGGAUCUAUUGAAGGGCAAGUCUGGUGCCAGCAGCCGCGGUAAUUCCAGCUCCAAUACCAUAUACCAAUUCUGUUGCUGUUAAAAA
rnacentral:rRNA from 1 species